rnacentral:rRNA from 1 species
AAGGGGGGACGGAGAAGGCUAUGUUGGCCGGGCGACGGUUGUCCCGGUUUAAGCGUGUAGGCUGGUUUUCCAGGCAAAUCCGGAAAAUCAAGGCUGAGGCGUGAUGACGAGGCACUACGGUGCUGAAGCAACAAAUGCCCUGCUUCCAGGAAAAGCCUCUAAGCAUCAGGUAACAUCAAAUCGUACCCCAAACCGACACAGGUGGUCAGGUAGAGAAUACCAAGGCGCUUGAGAGAACUCGGGUGAAGGAACUAGGCAAAAUGGUGCCGUAACUUCGGGAGAAGGCACGCUGAUAUGUAGGUGAAGUGAUUUACUCAUGGAGCUGAAAUCAGUCGAAGAUACCAGCUGGCUGCAACUGUUUAUUAAAAACACAGCACUGUGCAAACACGAAAGUGGACGUAUACGGUGUGACGCCUGCCCGGUGCCGGAAGGUUAAUUGAUGGGGUUAGCGCAAGCGAAGCUCUUGAUCGAAGCCCCGGUAAACGGCGGCCGUAACUAUAACGGUCCUAAGGUAGCGAAAUUCCUUGUCGGGUAAGUUCCGACCUGCACGAAUGGCGUAAUGAUGGCCAGGCUGUCUCCACCCGAGACUCAGUGAAAUUGAACUCGCUGUGAAGAUGCAGUGUACCCGCGGCAAGACGGAAAGACCCCGUGAACCUUUACUAUAGCUUGACACUGAACAUUGAGCCUUGAUGUGUAGGAUAGGUGGGAGGCUUUGAAGUGUGGACGCCAGUCUGCAUGGAGCCGACCUUGAAAUACCACCCUUUAAUGUUUGAUGUUCUAACGUUGACCCGUAAUCCGGGUUGCGGACAGUGUCUGGUGGGUAGUUUGACUGGGGCGGUCUCCUCCUAAAGAGUAACGGAGGAGCACGAAGGUUGGCUAAUCCUGGUCGGACAUCAGGAGGUUAGUGCAAUGGCAUAAGCCAGCUUGACUGCGAGCGUGACGGCGCGAGCAGGUGCGAAAGCAGGUCAUAGUGAUCCGGUGGUUCUGAAUGGAAGGGCCAUCGCUCAACGGAUAAAAGGUACUCCGGGGAUAACAGGCUGAUACCGCCCAAGAGUUCAUAUCGACGGCGGUGUUUGGCACCUCGAUGUCGGCUCAUCACAUCCUGGGGCUGAAGUAGGUCCCAAGGGUAUGGCUGUUCGCCAUUUAAAGUGGUACGCGAGCUGGGUUUAGAACGUCGUGAGACAGUUCGGUCCCUAUCUGCCGUGGGCGCUGGAGAACUGAGGGGGGCUGCUCCUAGUACGAGAGGACCGGAGUGGACGCAUCACUGGUGUUCGGGUUGUCAUGCCAAUGGCACUGCCCGGUAGCUAAAUGCGGAAGAGAUAAGUGCUGAAAGCAUCUAAGCACGAAACUWRYSCYGARAKGWSUWAKCCCUGACUCGYYMMGGGUSCUKWCSGAYSMCUKWAGAGUCCUGAAGGAACGUUGAAGACGACGACGUUGAUAGGCCGGGUGUGUAAGCGCAGCGAUGCGUUGAGCUAACCGGUACUAAUGAACCGUGAGGCUUAACCUUACAACGCCGAAGCUGUU